CCUACGGGGCGCUGCAGUGGGGAAUAUUGGACAAUGGGCGAAAGCCUGAUCCAGCCAUGCCGCGUGUGUGAAGAAGGCCUUCGGGUUGUAAAGCACUUUCAGUGGGGAAGAAAGCCUUGGGGCUAAUACCCUCGAGGAAGGACAUCACCCACAGAAGAAGCACCGGCUAACUCCGUGCCAGCAGCCGCGGUAAUUCGGAGGGUGCGAGCGUUAAUCGGAAUUACUGGGCGUAAAGCGCGCGUAGGCGGUCUGAUAAGCCGGUUGUGAAAGCCCCGGGCUCAACCUGGGAACGGCAUCCGGAACUGUCAGGCUAGAGGGCAGGAGAGGAAGGUAGAAUUCCCGGUGUAGCGGUGAAAUGCGUAGAGAUCGGGAGGAAUACCAGUGGCGAAGGCGGCCUUCUGGACUGACACUGACGCUGAGGUGCGAAAGCGUGGGUAGCAAACAGGAUUAGAUACCCGUGUAGUC
rnacentral:rRNA from 1 species